GCACCAGACUCCUACGGGAGGCAGCAGUGGGGGAUAUUGCACAAUGGGGGGAACCCUGAUGCAGCGACGCCGCGUGGGUGAAGGAGUGCUUCGGCAUGUAAAGCCCUAUCGGCAGGGAAGAAGCAAGACGGUACCUGACUAAGAAGCCCCGGCUAACUACGUGCCAGCAGCCGCGGUAAUACGUAGGUGGCAAGCGUUAUCCGGAUUUACUGGGUGUAAAGGGCGUGUAGGCGGGAAAGCAAGUCAGAUGUGAAAACCAUGGGCUCAACCUGUGGCCUGCAUUUGAAACUGUUUUUCUUGAGUACUGGAGAGGCAGACGGAAUUCCUAGUGUAGCGGUGAAAUGCGUAGAUAUUAGGAAGAACACCAGUGGCGAAGGCGGCUUUCUGGACUGAAACUGACGCUGAGGCACGAAAGCGUGGGGAGCGAACAGGAUUAGAUACCCGAGUAA
rnacentral:rRNA from 1 species